rnacentral:rRNA from 1 species
GAACGCUGAAGGCCCAGCUUGCUGGGUUGGAUGAGUGGCGAACGGGUGAGUAACACGUGAGUAACCUGCCCCCUUCUUUGGGAUAACGGUCGGAAACGGCUGCUAAUACCGGGUAUUCACUGUCCUUCGCAUGGGGGGUGGUGGAAAGGUUUUUUCUGGUGGGGGAUGGGCUCGCGGCCUAUCAGCUUGUUGGUGGGGUGAUGGCUUACCAAGGCUUUGACGGGUAACCGGCCUGAGAGGGUGACCGGUCACAUUGGGACUGAGAUACGGCCCAGACUCCUACGGGAGGCAGCAGUGGGGAAUAUUGCACAAUGGGCGAAAGCCUGAUGCAGCGACGCCGCGUGAGGGAUGACGGCCUUCGGGUUGUAAACCUCUUUCGCUCAUGGUCAAGCCGCAACAGUGGUUGUGGUGAGGGUAGUGGGUAAAGAAGCACCGGCUAACUACGUGCCAGCAGCCGCGGUAAUACGUAGGGUGCGAGCGUUGUCCGGAAUUAUUGGGCGUAAAGGGCUUGUAGGCGGUUUGUCGCGUCUGCCGUGAAAUCCUCUGGCUUAACUGGGGGCGUGCGGUGGGUACGGGCAGGCUUGAGUGCGGUAGGGGAGACUGGAACUCCUGGUGUAGCGGUGGAAUGCGCAGAUAUCAGGAAGAAC